GUUCUCCUAUUUAUUCAUAUUGUAGUCCUGUAAUGUUGUGUUGUCGUUUUAAUGUAACAUUUCACAUGGCCAUAAAAGAGGGAGGUUUGGCAUGCCACAAAACCAGGUUCAACCCACCAUUUUUUCCUUUAAAAAUGUCCUGUACCAAGUCAGGAAUAUGACCAUUGUUAUAUUAUAGUUCGUUUCUGUGUGUGUUACAUUUUAACGUUGUGUUUCCGUUGUGUCGUU
rnacentral:lncRNA from 1 species